CCUACGGGUGGCUGCAAUGGGGAAUAUUGGGCAAUGGGCGCAAGCCUGACCCAGCAACGCCGCGUGAAGGAAGAAGGCUUUCGGGUUGUAAACUUCUUUUCUGGGGGACGAACAAAUGACGGUACCCUAGGAAUAAGCCACGGCUAACUACGUGCCAGAAGCCGCGGUAAUACGGAGGUGGCAAGCGUUAUCCGGAUUUAUUGGGUGUAAAGGGCGUGUAGGCGGGAAUGCAAGUCAGAUGUGAAAACUAUGGGCUCAACCCAUAGCCUGCAUUUGAAACUGUAUUUCUUGAGUGCUGGAGAGGCAAUCGGAAUUCCGUGUGUAGCGGUGAAAUGCGUAGAUAUACGGAGGAACACCAGUGGCGAAGGCGGAUUGCUGGACAGUAACUGACGCUGAGGCGCGAAAGCGUGGGGAGCAAACAGGAUUAGAUACCCCUGUAGUC
rnacentral:rRNA from 1 species